rnacentral:rRNA from 1 species
CAUAAACCAAGGCAGCACUAAACCCCACUGCCCGCCUGAACACUACAAGCAAAAGCUUUAAAUUCAAAGGACUUGACGGUGCUGCAUACCGACCUAGAGGAGCCUGUCCCAUAAUCGAUAACCCACGCUCCACCUCACCCCCCCUAGCCCCCCAGCCUAUAUACCGCCGUCGAAAGCUCACCCUCCUGAAGGCCCCACCGUGAGCAAAAUAGUGCCACCACUAACACGUCAGGUCAAGGUGUAGCUAAUGGGGGGGGCAAAAGAUGGGCUACAUUUCCUACUACAGGGCCAACCAUAAACCAAAUGAAACCUGGACAAAAGCCGGAUUUAGCAGUAAGCAUGGCUAGCUUUACCACGCUGAAAUCAGCGCUG